CUGUGCUGUACUGGAGGAUCCUCACUGUAAACUGGAGAUACUGUGGUUGGAUUAUUGUGGCGUCACAGAAGAUGGUUGUGCUGCUCUGGCUUCAGCUCUGAGAUCAAACCCCUCACACCUGAGAGAACUGAAUUUGAAGUCGAAUAAUCUAGAAAAAUCAGAAGUAAAGAUACUCUCUGAUCUGAAAGAUGAUCCACGUUAUAAACUGGAGACAUUAGACUACUGACUCUCAGUGUUGAGAUGUCAGUCCAGUUUCCUCAGGAUCAGCUGAUGGUGAAUAAGAGCCGCUAUAUAACAAAUAAAUAUAAUAUAUAUUUAUUUGUUACCCCUUCAUCCUAGUACAUCCCUGCAUCUUACUCAAUCCUAUUCCAUUAUCAUUUAUAGCACAAUUGUUUAUACACUUAUUUAUCUGCAA